CAGUAGCUCAGUGGUACAACAUUUGUCUUGCUUGCAGAAGGUCCCAGGUUCAAUCCCUGGCAGGUAGG